rnacentral:rRNA from 1 species
GUACCCAACAAGGAAGUGACGGCUAACUACGUGCCAGCAGCCGCGGUAAAACGUAGGUCACAAGCGUUGUCCGGAAUUACUGGGUGUAAAGGGAGCGCAGGCGGGAAGACAAGUUGGAAGUGAAAUCUAUGGGCUCAACCCAUAAACUGCUUUCAAAACUGUUUUUCUUGAGUAGUGCAGAGGUAGGCGGAAUUCCCGGUGUAGCGGUGGAAUGCGUAGAUAUCGGGAGGAACACCAGUGGCGAAGGCGGCCUACUGGGCACCAACUGACGCUGAGGCUCGAAAGUGUGGGUAGCAAACAGGAUUAGAUACCCUGGUAGUCCACACCGUAAACGAUGAUUAUUAGGUGUUGGAGGAUUGACCCCUUCAGUGCCGCAGUUAACACAAUAAGUCAUCCACCUGGGGA